AAUGGAAGCUGCAUUUCUUUGCUCGUGACACAACUGGUCAAAGCAAGUGAGAGAUGUCGCCAUGUCUGAAGUGUGCGUUUGCACCGCCAUUGCGGCUUCAUGUUUUUUUUGUCUCUCGAUGUUUUGUGAUAACAUUGUGACAGCAACAAUUUCUUUGAACAUAAACAGAGGCUUAGUCAUCUUCAUCUCAGGUGUUAAAAAGGUCACUUUCUGCUCGCAGCCCAUUACUCACUGACAGCUUUCCGUCCGUCUCUGUUCCGCCUCUAAUGGCACUCCCCCGUCCGUCCCCCCCAAUCCCCUUUUUGGAUUUUUUGUACAGGAUGGCUGGGAGAAAGCUCGCUUAAAUGGCCUCGUAUGAAAGUAGCUAACGUGUCCCGUUGGCUGCGCGAAAGACACUCAGGUGAAUCUACUUUGUGCCAAUUUUCCAAAAUGUGUCUGCCGGGCAAAAUCUGACAUUGUCCCUGCUCCCCCCCCCCCCCCCCUCCCCAUGUUGCUGCUCCUUGUAAACAACUUUGAUUUGCAUUUCCUGUUGCAACUGAUGCGUCAGACUGUCUUGGUGAAUUGGGCUCAAAGUCAGACGCUACAAAGUUUCUCACCAUCAACAAAGAUCCAACAGCAGACAAGUUGACACUUGGACUGAUCCGCACCCCGCAGCCAGCCGACAAAAGGUCGAACGCAAUUGACUCACGCCUUCUCAUUUCCACUUCCGGGGACCAUUUGGAUGAAAAAGUUGAGCUUCAAAUGAUUGGUUGACUAGUUGACUAGUCAACUUUACUACUUGACAAGUCAUUUCAUCGCUCAUUGGGUGUGUUUGGCAUUUCAUGGACGCUGACGGCAUCUUCUCAAAUUUCCAUCACGUGAAACCCGCUCGGCGUUGCAAAAACGGUGGGCCUGGAAAAAAAACCCAUCAAUCAUAUCAUCCAUUCAUCAGCUUGGAUUACUUGACAGUUUCAUUUUAGUUACUCUGUACCCUAAUAACACGGGAAGCUGUCCACUGUAGUAACCGCUGUCCCUCAAAGGGUUAAGAAGAAACAAAAAAAAGGGAUCGGAAAGUGGUUUGAAUGUAAAAACGCACACGCCUGCGCCACAGCUUGGUGUUCGUAGAAGAGGGGUGGGAUAGGGGCAAAUUUUAGGAGAGUGCCACUCGGCUAUUUGGGGCCACUCGCUGACCCCCAUGCAGCUGUCAACGACAACUGCUCGUCAACUUGCUGCACACACACAGUUGUGGAUGCUCAUACUUGUAUAUGGAGUUAAUAAGGGAGAAGCAUUUAGUGUGUGAAACACAAGCCUUUAAUGUGUGUGUUUGUGCGUGCGCGCCUGCGUGGGUGCUGGCAUGCGCGUGUGUGUGUGUGUCUGUGUGUGUGUGUGUCGCAGCUAUGCCAUUGUAAAUAUUUUGAACAUAUUGCCAAAAGUGAUCUGGCGCGUCUACGUCUGUGUUGCUUUAUUGAGAAAUAAAUGAACCAAUGUUGACUUGUGAGAUUUGAAUUGAAAUCGACGUCGAAUAUGUCGUCUUAAACUUUUGUCACAGCAGAGCCACUUUGAGUCUGACAACGCUGCAUGACGCGUUCAGACGUGUUCUGUGCGGAGCUCGUGACUUAAGCAAGGCUCCCCCUACUCCCCCCC